rnacentral:lncRNA from 1 species
CAGUUAGCACGUCUGGCUGGCGGGGCCGGGCCUUCAUUAAUUCAUUACAGCAGGCUCCUGCUGGCCCAUUAUCUUCUUUACCGCUGACCACGUCUCCUCUUGGGCCUGCAGACUCCCCCUUUCUCCCCUUCUCCUUAGUUCCAAGCAGUGACUGGUUAAAUCACAUCCAUCCUCUUCCCGGCCUCCCCAGCCUCCAAGGAGCCUCCCCUGAGGCUAUCUCGGAGAGGGAAUCUCACCAGUGCAGGAAUUCUCAGCUCACCACCUCCUCUGCCUGCCACCCAGUAUCUUCUGCCCUGCAUCUCCCAAGUCAGCCAGCCAGCCUUCAAAGUCAGAAACUCCAGUUCCACUUCUGACUUUGCCACUGAUCCUUUGGGAUGACUCAGGUAGCAAAAGCCAGGAGGACCCCACACACAACUCAACAAAUUGUCUUCCGCCGGUGGAUUUCUUUUCAAUUCUUCCUAACUUACCAGAGGCCGGGAAAAGCCAGGCUUCCCCUUGGAGUUUCCCUAAGAGCCUCAGAUCCCAGCCCACUUCGGAGGCAUCUCCUUCAUCUCAGCUCCAACCUUCUGGUGAAGAAGAGUCCAACUCCUUAAACGGGACACCUUGCUGGAGAAGGAGCGAAGUUGGCAGCGCGGAGGAAAACUGCAAAGUGCGGAGGCCUUAGACGGAAAGACAGCCAUCUGGGAACCUGGAGGGGAAGGAAGUCGCGAGUUGCGCUCGGGGCGCCGGAGAAUAGGGGAACAGAAAAUGGAGAAGUGACACCUAGGGAGAAGAGGGUGUGGAGCGGAGGUGACGGAGACGGCGGCGACUUAGCACUGGCAGGCGGCUCAGAAAAGGACGAGGACUUGUCGAGAAAGCGCGAUAGAUAAUCAUUUGGCGUGGCUUCUAACUACGUUCUCACUGCAAGCACACUUUUUACUUGUGUGUCUACUUAAGGAGCUGGUGGGGGUUAUGGAGGUUAAAGUCCUCCCAAAGCCACCCCACUGGAGGGAGUGGCACGAUGCGCUUAAGGAUUCGGAGAGAAGGGGACAGAAACGGAGGGGGACGGAGAUCCUCGCGAGAGAAGGGAGCAGAGGAAGAAGGAGAUGGGAAGAGAAGCAAGCCAAACUUGCCGCUCGCCCCUCCCAGGCCAGCCCAGCGUCUCCAGUCCCCAGCCACCGCGCCCUGGCGCGCGCUCUCUCGCUCGCGUACCUGUUGCUCGCUCCGGCUGGGUCUCGGCUCCGGCCCCACCAAGA